GUGCCAGCAGCCGCGGUAAUACAGAGGUGGCGAGCGUUGUUCGGAUUUACUGGGCGUAAAGGGUGCGUAGGCGGUUCCGCGUGUCGGAUGUGAAAUCUGGAGGCUCACCCUCCAAAGUGCAUUCGAAACUGCGAGACUAGAGUACAGGAGAGGAGAGCGGAAUUCUUGGUGUAGCGGUGAAAUGCGUUGAGAUCAAGAAGAACACCAGUGGCGAAGGCGGCUCUCUGGAAUGAAACUGACGCUGAGGCACGAAAGUUGGGGGAGCAAACAGGAUUAGAAACCCGCGUAGUCC
rnacentral:rRNA from 1 species